UACGGAGGGUCGAAGCGUUAAUCGGAAUUACUGGGCGUAAAGCGCACGCAGGCGGUUCUGUAAGCUAGAUGUGAAAGCCCCGCGCUCAACGUGGGAUGGUCAUUUAGAACUGGCAGACUAGAGUUUUGGAGAGGGGAGUGGAAUUCCAGGUGUAGCGGUGAAAUGCGUAGAUAUCUGGAGGAACAUCAGUGGCGAAGGCG
rnacentral:rRNA from 1 species